rnacentral:rRNA from 1 species
AAGUACCGUGAGGGAAAGAUGGAAAGUACUUUGAAAAGAGGGUGAAAAGCACCUGAAACCGUCACGGGGGAAGCGGAUUGCGUGAGUGUGGUGUGGCGUCCGUUCAGCUACCCUUGGGUAGUGUACUCAGCGCUAGCCGUGCCGGUGUGGCUGCCUAGUUUCGGAUGUUGCGAAACCGGGUGGUGAGGGCUCCCUUUCGAGGUUGAGGACAUCGGCGAAAUGACGCGACCCGACCCGUCUUGAAACACGGACCAAGGAGUCUAGCACUGCUGCGAGUCGAAGGGCUAAAAACCCAUGGGCGGAGUGAAAGCAAAACGAAUGUAAAAAUCGGAUACAGAUUGGGGAGGUGUGGCGACGUUGUCAAUAUAUCCUACCCUGAGCAGUUGUGCUGGGACCCGAAAGAUGGUGAACUAUGCCGGAAUAGGGCAAAGCCAGAGGAAACUCUGGUGGAGGCUCGUAGCGAUGCUGACGUGCAAAUCGCUCGUCGAAUUUGGGUAUAGGGGCGAAAGACUAAUCGAACCAUCUAGUAGCUGGUUCCCUCCGAAGUUUCUCUCAGGAUAGCGGGCCGACGAUGUGGGUUGUUUUGUGUGGUAAAGCGAAUGAUUAGCGUAUUUGGGGGCGUAAUGCCUUCAGUCGAUUCUCAAACUUUAAAUACGCAAGAAAGGGGUUGGUUGCUUGGUUUGAACCCCCCUAAUGUGAAAACGUCGGCCCUGUGGGCCACUUUUGGUAAGCAGAACUGGCGAUACGGGAUGAACCGUAAGCGCGGUUAAGGCGUCAAAUUGUCCGCUUAUAGAUCCCACAAAAGGUGUUGGUUCAUCCAGACAGCAGGACGGUGGCCAUGAAGUCGAAUCCGCAAGGAGCCAUGGAAGUCGGAAUCCGCUAAGGAGUGUGUAACAACUCACCUGCCGAAUGAACUAGCCCUGAAAAUGGAUGACGCUGAAGCGGACAGCCGACACCGCGCCGUUUGGGUAAGAAGCGACCUAAAUGAGUAGGAGGGCGUGGCGGUCUUGUGAGGAAGGUCGAGACGCGAGUCUGACUGAAACGGCCGCUAGUGCAGAUCUUGGUGGUAGUAGCAAAUAUUCAAGCGAGAUCCUUGAAGGGCGAAGCGGGGAAGGGUUCCAUGCGAACAUUGAUUGGGCAUGGGUGAGUCGUUCCUAAGCCGGGUGGUAAUCGUUCUUCGAAGCGGCGAAAGGGAAGCGGGUUAAAAUUCCUGCACACGGAUGUGGAGGCGGUGACGCAAAUUGAGAUGAAGACAUCAGCGGUGGCGCUAGGCAGAGUUUUCUUUUCUGUUUGACCUGUGAGAUGCACGUUGUGGAAUCCGAUUAUCGGGAGAAACAAGUGCCGAAGGGCAGAGCGUCGGGGCGUCCCCGGCGUCUAGCACGCCACCGAUGAUCCUUGAAAAUUCAUCUGCGAUAUAAUUUCACGCCGUGGCGUACCGAUAACCGCAUCAGGUCCCCAAGGUGAACAGCCUCUGCUCAAUAUGAACAAUGCAGGUAAGGGAAGUCGGCAAAAUAGACCCGUAACUUUGGGAAAAGGGUUGGCUCUAGUGGGGUGGGGGAUUUUCAAAUGGAUUCCAGGGUUCUGGCGAUUCGGAGGACGGAUUGGGCUAGUCUGAGGCAACUCGGUAUUGGCUUGGUCUGACUUCCCUAUCGUCUGGGGCUUUGGGGUCCGCCUCCAGCAUGCUCCAGACUAGAACUGCAACGGGCAAAGGGAAUCCGACUGUUUAAUUAAAACAAAGCAUUG